rnacentral:rRNA from 1 species
AACGAACGCUGGUGGCGUGCUUAACACAUGCAAGUCGAACGAGAAAGUUUCCUUCGGGAAAUUAGUAAAGUGGCGCAAGGGUGAGUAUCACGUGAAUAAUCUGCCCUCGAGAUCGGGGAUAACAUGGUGAAAACUAUGCUAAUACCGGAUAAGACCACAUUUCAUAAGAAAUGUGGUAAAAAGGAGUCUCAAUCUUCACUCGGGGGAUGAGUUCGCGCAACAUUAGCUUGUUGGUGAGAUAAAAGCUCACCAAGGUUACGAUGUUUAGCCGGCCUGAGAGGGUGAACGGCCACACUGGAACUGAGACACGGUCCAGACUCCUACGGAGGCAGCAGUGGGGAAUAUUGACGCAAUGGGCGAAAAGCCUAGACGCAGCAACGCCGUGUGAGCGAUG